GGUAACUUUAAAACAAUAUUAUAUUGUAGUUUGUAGACCCAUUUUCUAAAUAUCACAAACCAGUUAAAUUAAUGGAAAAUUGAUAUUAUUCAACCAAGAUAUGUUUUUUAUAUGUAUAUGGAAGGUUGCGUGCUGUGGGUGUGUCGCGAGUGGGUAGCUAGCUAUGUGCAGAGCAGAGUACAUACUCGUAGCUCAUUGUAGUUCAGCAUCUUCAUAUCGCAUCUUCGCACAACUACAUAGCUUAGUAUUGGUGGAAACGGUCACAUAUUUUCGUAGCGUAGAUUUCACAUCUUCAGCUGCAUAGCACAUCUCUAGUGGAAAAAUAUCCUAAGAGUGCUGUUACGAAUAUACUAAUAUAUUACAUUUUGUUGUUUCGGUCGGGAACGGCUUACCUGUUUAAACCGAAGCGACCCUUAUUAUAUUAAAAAUUAGCUUACAUUUUGCAUAACAAAGUUAGUUUAGUUAGGUUAGGUAGGUACCUUUGAGGCUGACGACUUGAACAAUUAAUUUCCAUACAUUUUUACCACACCUGUGAUAGCCAGUUACGGAGUUCGGACUGCAGUGGCGUCGCGCGGCUACCGUUCCAAGCCGCUACAGUCCAAAUGCUUUAAGUACAGUUUUAACGAUCCAAAUACAACCGUUCAAGUAUAUAACCGGUAUAGAGCUAAUUUUUCUCUUCGAUAUAAUAUGAGAAAUCAUGUUCCCAGCCGCCAAAAGCUUGAUUUCGAGAAACUUUUUCAAAGAUUUAGUCAAGAGAAGAAGAUUUAGUCAAAAAAAAAUAACUGUAGUAUACCUAGUUCGUAAUAACCAAGUGUUACAAACGUAACAUAACAAUAAACAAUACCACCGUAUUCACACUCACCACGCGAAUUGUAUUUGUCAUGGCUAUUAGUAGCAGUAAGACGACAAGACUAGUACCCUACUAGUACAAAGGUAGAACGGCCGUCCGUCCGUACAUAGCUGCGAGGCGACUAGUUAUGUCCGCUUCAAUGACAGUAAACUCGUUUCGAGCUUACGAAUAAGUUGUUUCUGGUCGGGAGGUUGCGGUAAAAGAGAUAGAUCGGACGAUUCACUCAUAAAAAGUAAAGGUGAACAAACAAAUACACGUAAAAACGUACAAGUCAUACCCUCUGUGUGUAGUGCGCGGCGCGUGUACUGUGUACGUAGCGAGCGGUUGUCUGUGGAGUGUGGACAACAGCCUGCGAAUAUAAAAAAAUACUUCUCCCCGAAGCAUUUUUUACAAUAGAGUACUUGCCUGCAGUACCUACUAAAACAAGAAGAUUUUUUGCUUUUAGACAGUUUAGAUGGCUAGAAAAUCCAAUCACAUUUUUAUUUAUUGAAAAUAAUCUCGUAAUUGUAAUAUUUUUAUAAAACAAAAUUGUAUUUUUAUCACGUCAUCGAAAACGCUAAUAACAAACUGAAACGUCAUUUGUUAAAUGGCAUCGCAUCGAUUUGUGAUUGGCGUUUGCGGUGACGUCAUAUAUUACGUUGUUAGGCCAGCAUAUGCAGAGUCUGCUCUCCACUUGGGGAUCCUAAUGAUCAUGCUCACGACCGCAGUCUUACCCGUUACACUUGCGAACAUUGCAGUAAUAAAUUCUUGAUUUAAAAAUACAAAAUUGCCAAGUAAAAAAAGCAUUUAUUUUUAAUUUGAGCUAUUCUUAAUAAAAAAUAUGUAUAUACAAUAUGCAAAACACAACACUAGUCAAAAAUUAUACUUUUUGAUUUACCAUUAAAAUGAUUUUUAAUAGUUAAUUUAACUGGUUCUUUUGUAGAAUAUAAGCUUAUUGAAAAAUCUUGCAAUGAUCUUUCUUUCACAUACGUGGUAAUAGAUACCAACGUCCAAGAACUGUGAGAAUAUAACCAUGUACCGUCUUUGAGAGUGGUAUCCUGUACACUGUACAGUAUAGAUGUAUCUAAGCUUAACUGCUAAAUCAACAUAAAUAAGGCGAUUACAACGCCUUACGAUCAACGGAAAAGUAACAACGUUAUGACCUCUGCGUUUUACGUUUUAUUUAGGGUGGAAACUGUAAAGCCAACUUCAUGCAGUAAAUAUAAACAUUUUGGAUUUGGAAAACACUUUAUAUCCAUCAGACUUCCAAAAUUAUUAUGCAUAGGUAUCUACAUAACAAUUUUCUGCAGCAAAAAUCCCUAAGCGAAACGAAGCUUUUCAUGAAUGAUGUCCCUUGUCAAUUUGUUGUGUUUCAGUGGCAAUAAAUAGUUCACGUGGACAUUUUUUGUUUUAUUAUAUCAUUUCGCUGGUUAUUAUUGAUGGAAAAAGUAAAAUAUAGCUUAUUAUACUUCAAAUAAUUAAGUUUAACACUAUUUAAAAAAGAGGCAUGUACCCUAUUAUUACUAUCAAGUUAAUUUUCCGUGAGAAGCUUGAUAUUGAUGAGACGCUAAACUUUUACUAUAUUUACUAAAAUUCUUGAUUCUGGUAGCUAACAGGGUUACUGGGUAAUGACAACUUCUGAGCGUAGGAACGAGAUAGCUAACCACGUAAUAUUUAGGACAAUGUGGCUGCUAAUUUGUAUAACUAUGAAUUAAGCAACAGUAAAAAAACAGCUGGUUAGUAACAAAUUGUGAUGAACUCUCCUCCCAACUUGUACCAAUAACGAGGUCAUCAGAUGUUGUUACUAACCAGAUGCUUCUUUGACUGCUGCUUAACUAAUAGUUAUACAACUUAGUAGCCACAUUGUCCUACAGUAGGGUCGGUUCGUCAGAUGGCGACCACCAACAAUAGAUUGUUAUGGUGCUAAAGCGAGUUUAAUAAGAAUUGUAUCGUCUUCGAUCUGACCGAGCGACCCUACUCAGCAGAGGUCUCGCACAGUCGGGCGGACCCGCCGCGUGUCCCGCAGAAGGCGCGUAUCGUCCGCCGGUCGUUGACCCCGCCGCCGCCGCCGCGCGUCUCCUACGUAUAUUUUACGAGAAAAGUUAAAAUAACACCUCCGCAUUAGCAUAGGGUUAUGAGACCGUGCGCGCUAACUGUUCCGCGCCCGCUCGCCCGCUGCUCGGUACCUGUUGACGACCGCUGCGGCGCAGGUGUUCAAUGCUGUGCUUUUUAACAGAGGUCCUGGACUCGAUUCACUAUUGAGAUUUGAGAGAGAUUUGAGCUACGUUGCCAGGACAAAUGGUUUGCGAACUUGUUGCGAUCCAUUGUUGAGACUGACUGGGCGCGUGCGUCGUGCUCUUGCGCUGCGACAUCGUGCGCCAUCGCGACGCCGAUGUGUUCUCUGUUGCGACGACGCGCAGUGUUCGUCCGCCGCUCGUCCGCCGCCGUCCGUCGUCCGCGCACAUCUGUACACUGUCGCUGUCGCUAGGUGCUGCAACUGCACCUGCUGUGUGUGAGACUCGUUUGUCUGAUUUCCUACCUAUAUAUUGUGUGUACUGUUCAUUAAUCAUUUUGUUGGUUGUGUAUAAAGUUCUCAAUAAAUGAGUUUGUUACAUAAUACGCCUUUGUUUUGAUUUACGUAAAGCCGCCUGCGGAAGUGAUAACUGGUGCAGUUAACAUCCAUGAGUUAUGCAACAUAACAGGGAAGGAAAUAUUUAUUCUAAAUUUUGUAAAUACAGAAUUCAUUAGGGUUCCGAACGUACGUAGUACAAAAACGGAACCCUUAUAACGGAACCCUCGCGCACAUUUUGUCUGUUUGUUUUUUCCGAAUGUACUGGACCAAUCCAGUUGAAAUUUGCAACACAUAUCAACUCUUGUAAACCAUAUACAGGGAUGUAUCGUGAAUAGGUAAAAUUUUAAUAUGUGGGUUACUAAUGGGGGGUAAGAUGGAAAGUUGAAAAAAAACUUUUACAAACUUCAUCGUGUAAUACAUCAAAUGAAAGGUGAUUAAUAAGAGAAUUUCAAAAAUAUUUUUUUUGGAAUUUAAAAAAUAUUUUGAAAAUAAUAUAGAAAUUGGCUUUUUACUUAUAAAUUUCCGGAAAAAUUUGAAAUUUUUAAUGUGAAGGUCACUUUUGGGGGUAACACGGAAAACAAAAAUAAAACUUUAAACUGCAACGUGUACGAUACAUUAAAUGAAAGAUCUUAUGAGAAUAUUCAAUAUUUUUUUUCGUAAUUUUGAAAUAAUUGGUUCUAAGUUAUUCAAUACAUUACAGGAGAACGUGUAAAAGUUCACGAUUUUGAACUACCGUCAUCAACUAUCAUUCAUUAUUGUGCCUCCCAACUUGCAUAUUAUUAUAAAACCUAUUCAUCAAAACUAAUGUUAAGUUUUGUUAAAUACUAUGUAUUAUAAUAAUAAUUUCAGGUUUAGAUAAUUAUACAACGAAACAUGCUAGCCUGUAAAUUAUUUAAUUAGGUACAAUUUCAGGUCAGUUUUCAAAAACAUGAUAGGUUAACAUCGUUCGGAACCCUCGUCACGCGAGUUCAACUCGCACUUGUCCGGGUUUUUUAUUGUAAACUUGCGCGCUAUAAUGCGAUAUUAUUCGCAUGGGAAACACUAGUAACCAUCAUUUAGUUACCAUUAUUGUAAUAUGUGCACCACCUCUACUUUAUACACCUGUACUUGUACGUAUUUAUGUACGCAUGUAUGAUGUAUCUGAAAAUAAAUACAUAGAUUGAUUGAUUGAUUGAAUGUUGCUCAUAUACGAUUUAUUAAAUUUCAUAUUGGCUAAAUUCACACGGCAUUGUCCUGCACGUUUUUUACCGAAUAAAUAGUGAAAUAUAUUAUGUUGUUCAUAGAACUGUUCACACGAUUUAUAAACUACAAAAAUCGAUAUGUAAGUAUUUAGAGUUCAGACGUGGGUAUACGUUAAUGAAACGCCCUAUGAACGUUGCCGUUAUCAGUAUUACAUUCGAACUAAAACGAGACCGAUAAGAAAAACUGUUUCGUCCUGUGGGAGCAGCGGCGGGUGCGGCUGACCUUGCGUGCCGUCCGCCGCCCGUCCGCCGUCCGCCGUCCGCCCCGUGACGGGACGGCUCGUCCAUCGCAAGCCGGCGCCGUUACGGACACUUCGACCUAAUAAAGUAAAAGUGUCUGUUUGUUGUUUUCACAAACAACGUCGAGCGGACGAAAGUGACGAGACGCGCGUGGAAUGUGCGCGACGGCGACGGGCCAGCGGCGGCAGCGCGCAUUGGCGCAGACGAAAUAGUAAGUGGACUACUGCGCAUUACACAUUUAGUAGGCAAAUCCUAGACACGUGGUAUGGUAUGGUAUUUAACAUAAGUACAGGUAUCAGGCUUUGCCUGCACCAGUCGCAAUAUUAACUAACGGUUUUUUGAGUAAUUUAUGACAUUGGCGUAUACUCGUAGACUUAUAAGAUAGAUUUUCCAAAUAUUCAGUAGGUAUGUCAAUUUAUCAAAAGAAACUUUUUGUAAUCUAAUAAUAAUAUUUACAAGUGACGCCAUUAUAACGCUACAUAAUUAUGAUAAUUGAAUUUAGUUUAGAAGUUUAGAGUAACACAGUGGCGAAGGUCGGUAUCGCCGGGCGGGGCUGAGUCACGCGAGAGCGCGAUAAGGGCACAUUCAGCCGCUGCUGUAGUACCUACGAGUACCUUGCCUACAUAUGUUUGAUGUUUUACUAAAUAAUGAUUUUUGAAUCCUAUCAGACAGUGCUGAUAAAGUGAGCGAGAGUUAUCAGUCCGUACCUCACAGAACUAACAGUUAAGUAAGUAAGUAGGUAGCUGCACCUACAGUAGGAACGGUUAGCAAGUAGGUACGUAGUUUGCAUGUUGGGGCGUUUCGGGGAUAGCUGUACUCAGACCAAAACACCCUUUCCGAACGGUCCGCUAAGCCGAGGUCCGAGUCUCAGAGGAGACGCCCUUAUAGAGUCUUUCCGCCCACCUACUCUGUUUCUGCCUUUGGGCCCCAUCAGGCGAUGCUUCUGCGCUCGCCCAAACGUAAAGCCUAUUGUAUCUCCGCUACCGGCCUCCCGCCUCGUGGGAGAGGAUAUGGAGCUUACACCCAGCACACUGCUGCAGUGAAAGUCAUAUGUCCGAGCCAGGAUUUGAACACAGGGCCUCGUCAUGCGAAACCUCAUAGGGUACUGGAUCAAUGAGGCAGCUUGAUUGCUGUAGUAGUCUUGUGUAUUACAAAUAACCAACAAGAAAGGAUUUACCAAACAUUCGAUGGGGUUUGUUAGGUGUAAAUUUUUACGCUCGGUGUGUUUACUUUCGCUUUAAAUUAAAAAAAUAAUAAAAUAUUAAGUUUCUUGGUACUGAGUUCAAACGGAUUGCUUACAUACGUACCUAAAUACAUCUAAGUCCACUUUGAAUUGAUACAAUGUCCUGGCACAGCGCGCCAGCGGCAGCGCGCGGCGCACAAUAUUUGGAAUGGUAAUGAGGGCGCGCCACCUCCGACCCUCAUUGAAUUUCAAUCGGUUCGCGCCUUGCUUCUUUUGUGGACAUCGCUUUUGUCGAAUCAUUUCACUUAAACAAAACUACAUAACCCAGCCCAAUACAACUACACGGGAAAAAUCUAGCGGGCCCCCGGGUGCCAUUGUUGUCACAGUUUGACUGGGAAUCGUGAUCACCAAUUUGUUGAAUAACAUCGUCUCUUUAAUUAAUUAAAAAUGUAUUAAGGUGCCUAUCUAAGCUACUACCACAGAAUUCAUAAUUUGUAGGUACAUAAAUGUACAAGUACUACUUACGAGUAUAAAGGAACGGUUUGGCUAACACGACCAAGUGAAGUGCUUCCCUAGCGCGCUCGCCAUCGCUCUUCAUUGCUACUAGGGCUGUUCUUAUAUUUGGAUUCUAUGAAAAUAAUCCUAAAUGUACUAUGUAGAUUGUAGGUUAAGAUAAUUCACACUGAUUCUAAGUUCGCCAAGGUGCGUGAAAUAAACAUAGCAUGCAUAUGAACAUUUGAACUCAAUCGACCACUGAAAUAACUAUAAACCAUUGUUACCUCUAGCAUGAGGUUCAAAGCAAAUAGGUCUCUCGAGAUUAUUCUAUUUGUUCGAAAAUCUCAUUCCUCAGUUCUCUCGGUCUGAAGCUCGCGCUUCUACCCCGAGGCCGGCUCGUGGUGGAGCGAGGCCGGCGGUGGAGCGAGGCCCGCGGUGGAGCGAGGCCGGCGGUGGAGCGAGGCCCGCGGUGGAGCGAGGCCGGCGGUGGAGCGAGGGCGCUGCGUCCGCUGCUACGUACUCUUGUUAUGGACAACUUGUGUGAUAUCUACCUGACGUCAGGUACAUAUGGCAAGCGCGCUGUCUAGGCCCAUGAAGCAGACGAACUACUAAACUGUAGUCAGCAAACCGAUAAAUAGUGUCAAGAAAAAGGUGCUCCAACCGCAACUGUCAGCUUUUGUCUGUUAUCGUACAUAUUCGUGUAUGUUUAUAUGUGGAUAUAUUUAUUGUAUUAUGUUAUGACAUACAAGAACCUUCAUAUAUCUCUUUUUAAAAAAGUCGUCAUUGUAACGGAGCCACGGGAAAAAUAGCAUAUUUAUAGCUCUCUAACAGCAUUUCUUUAUACGUACCCAUAGUUACCAGAUACAAAAAUGUUUUUACUCAUAAGCAGAAUAUUCGUGAAUAUUGCCAAAUAUCCAGAAUUGUACAUUUGAUUUAAAAAUAAAAUAUUUAAAAUUGUA